rfam:Ixodes scapularis strain Wikel colony gcontig_1108379248166, whole genome shotgun sequence.
UCGUGGUUAACUCAGUUGGUAGAGCACUCCACUAGAAAUGGAGAGGUCCCUGGUUCGGUACCAUGACCAGGCG